CCUACGGGUGGCAGCAGUGGGGAAUAUUGGACAAUGGGCGAAAGCCUGAUCCAGCCAUGCCGCGUGUGUGAAGAAGGCCUUCGGGUUGUAAAGCACUUUCAGUGGGGAAGAAAGCCUUGGGGCUAAUACCCUCGAGGAAGGACAUCACCCACAGAAGAAGCACCGGCUAACUCCGUGCCAGCAGCCGCGGUAAUACGGAGGGUGCGAGCGUUAAUCGGAAUUACUGGGCGUAAAGCGCGCGUAGGCGGUCUGAUAAGCCGGUUGUGAAAGCCCCGGGCUCAACCUGGGAACGGCAUCCGGAACUGUCAGGCUAGAGUGCAGGAGAGGAAGGUAGAAUUCCCGGUGUAGCGGUGAAAUGCGUAGAGAUCGGGAGGAAUACCAGUGGCGAAGGCGGCCUUCUGGACUGACACUGACGCUGAGGUGCGAAAGCGUGGGUAGCAAACAGGAUUAGAUACCCUGGUAUC
rnacentral:rRNA from 1 species